rnacentral:rRNA from 1 species
GACGAACGCUGGCGGCGUGCCUAAUACAUGCAAGUCGAGCGGACGAAUCGAAAGCUUGCUUUUGAUUCGUUAGCGGCGGACGGGUGAGUAACACGUGGGCAACCUGCCCUGUAGACGGGGAUAACACCGAGAAAUCGGUGCUAAUACCGGAUAACACGAAAUGUCGCAUGACGUUUCGUUGAAAGACGGUGCAAGCUGUCGCUACAGGAUGGGCCCGCGGCGCAUUAGCUAGUUGGUGAGGUAACGGCUCACCAAGGCGACGAUGCGUAGCCGACCUGAGAGGGUGAUCGGCCACACUGGGACUGAGACACGGCCCAGACUCCUACGGGAGGCAGCAGUAGGGAAUCUUCCGCAAUGGACGAAAGUCUGACGGAGCAACGCCGCGUGAGCGAAGAAGGCCUUCGGGUCGUAAAGCUCUGUUGUUAGGGAAGAACAAGUAACGCAGUAACUGGCGUUACCGUGACGGUACCUAACGAGAAAGCCACGGCUAACUACGUG